rnacentral:rRNA from 1 species
GAUGAACGCUGGCGGCGUGCCUAAUACAUGCAAGUCGAGCGGACGGACGAGAAGCGUGCUGUUCUGAUGUGAGCGGCGGACGGGUGAGUCACACGUGGAUAACCUACCUAUAAGAGUGGGCUAACUUAGGGAAACCGGAGCUAAUAACGGAUAAUAUUUUGAACCGCAUGGUUCAAGAGUGAAAGACGGUCUUGCUGUGACUUAUAGAUGGAUCCGCGCUGUAUUAGCUAGUUGGUAAGGUAACGGCUUACCAAGGCGACGAUGCAUUGCCGAGCUGAGAGGGUGUACGGGCCCACUGGAAGUGAGACGCGGCCCAGACUCCGACGGGAGGCAGAAGUAGGGAAGCGUGCGCGAUGGGCGGAAGCCUGACGGAGGGACGCCGCGUGGGUGAUGAAGGUCUUCGGGCCGGAAGACUCUGUUAUUAGGGAAGAACAUAUGUGUAAGUAACUGAGCUCAGCGUGACGGUACCUAGUCAGAAAGCCACGGCUAACUACGUG